rnacentral:rRNA from 1 species
UCCGUAGGCGGAUCGAUAAGUCAGAGGUGAAAUCCCACAGCUUAACUGUGGAACUGCCUUUGAUACUGUUGGUCUUGAGUUAUAUGGAAGUAGAUAGAAUGUGUAGUGUAGCGGUGAAAUGCAUAGAGAUUACACAGAAUACCGAUUGCGAAGGCAGUCUACUAACUGUAUACUGACGCUAAUGGACGAAAGCGUGGGGAGCGAACAGGAUUAGAUACCCUGGUAGUCC